GAGCCCGUAGCUCAGGGGUAGAGCAUCUGACUUUUAAUCAGAGGGUCCUGGGUUCGAUCCCCAGCGGGCUCACCA
rnacentral:tRNA from 1 species